rnacentral:rRNA from 1 species
UACGUAGGGUGCAAGCGUUGUCCGGAAUUAUUGGGCGUAAAGGGCUCGUAGGCGGUUUGUCGCGUCGGGAGUGAAAACCCAGGGCUUAACCCUGGGCUGGCUUCCGAUACGGGCAGACUAGAGGUAUGCAGGGGAGAACGGAAUUCCUGGUGUAGCGGUGAAAUGCGCAGAUAUCAGGAGGAACACCGGUGGCGAAGGCGGUUCUCUGGGCAUUACCUGACGCUGAGGAGCGAAAGUGUGGGAGGCGAACAGG